AUCCAGCUGACGAGUCUUAAAUAGGACGGAACGCGCGUCCUGGAU
rfam:Schistosoma rodhaini strain Burundi genome assembly, scaffold: SROB_scaffold0011472